UACGGAGGGUGCGAGCGUUGUCCGGAAUCACUGGGCGUAAAGGGCGCGUAGGCGGCGGGGUAAGCGUGCGGUGAAAGCUCGGGGCUCAACCCCCGAGUCGGCCGUGCGAACUGCCCUGCUUGAGCACUGUAGAGGCAGGUGGAAUUCCGGGUGGUAGGCGGUGGAUGACGUAGAGAUCCGGAAGAACACCAGUGGCGAAGGCGGCCUGCGUGGGCAGUGGCUGACGCUGAGGCGCGACAGCGUGGGGAGCAAACAGG
rnacentral:rRNA from 1 species